AUCGAAAAUAAAAUCUCUAUUGACAACCCCAUUUCCAAGGAUACCAACAUUCUACAUGACACCUAAAGUGCACAGAAAUGUAACAGACCCGCCUGGUCGACCCAUCAUAUCAGGAUACAAUGGCAGCACUAAAUAGACUAAAUAAUAUGCAAGUUGAAGAUAACAUGAUUCUGGUCACAGCUGAUGUUGAAGCGCUAUAUUCAAAUAUUAAGCACGAAGAUGGUCUAAGGGCAGUGGCUGAAUACCUGAAAGAUGGGUAAGGAGGUCACAUUUUUGGACCUAAAGAUACAAAUAAAAGAGAAUGGGAUACUAGAAACUGACGCCCAUAGAAACGAAACUGCGGUCAAUGCGCUACUGCAUGCUGAAUCAUCCCAUCUAAAAUCCACCAUAGACGGGAUACCCAUUGGACAAUUCGCAAGGAUAAAGAGGAUCUGCUCUGAUGAGAAACUUACGUGAUAGUGUUGAGUGAUCGAUGGCUGAAUUCCUGUGUCCGAGAUGGCCCAUUGAAACCUGUGGUGGGGAAAAAGCAAGAAGGAAAAAAGAAGAAUUAAAUACCUAAUGAAUGUACUUAUCAGUAAAGGACAUUUUAAUACAAUUUAUGAAAUUAUUAUUACACCAGCCAAACUGGAUGUGAGAGAAAGAUGUAGGAGUUGAUAUCCAAUUCAGCUCUGUCAAACAUCAUGGCGUAUAUGAGUGAGUAUAGAUCAAUAGACGUUUGGGUGGUGAUAAUGCCCUGAGAGGCAUCAGUCACAUAUAUAGAGGGCGCACAGAAAGAUAGACAUUAGUCUAUGUGUAGAGAGAAUGUCACCCACCCUUUUACACUAUAAAGGAUGUAUAGAUAAAUAGGCACCUAAUUAUAUAUUGAGGGAGGAUGUAUUCACCCACCUUUUUUAGUGGAAAUAGGCUAAUUAUUGAAUUGAUAGGCACUAUUUAUAUUGAGGGAGGACAUACUUGUUCACCUUCUUCAAUAGGUAUAGAUUUUAAUCAUUGUGAUUGAAAGUAAUUAGGUAGAAAUAUUAACUUCACAUUAGAUAUUGAUAGUAAGAGA